UAGAGAAUCUGCCCUGUACUGGGGGACAACAGAGGGAAACUUCUGCUAAUACCCCAUAUGAGCGUACCUGCGAUGGUAUUCUUGAAAGUUCCGGCGGUACAGGAUGAGUCUGCAUCUGAUUAGCUAGUUGGUGGUGUAAUGAACUACCAAGGCGACGAUCAGUAGCUGGUUUGAGAGGAUGAUCAGCCACAAUGGGACUGAGACACGGCCCAUACUCCUACGGGAGGCAGCAG
rnacentral:rRNA from 1 species